rnacentral:rRNA from 1 species
CGGGCGGACGGGUGAGCAACGCGUGGGUAACCUACCCUGUACACACGGAUAACAUACCGAAAGGUAUGCUAAUACGGGAUAAUAUAUUUGAGAGGCAUCUCUUAAAUAUCAAAGGUGAGCCAGUACAGGAUGGACCCGCGUCUGAUUAGCUAGUUGGUAAGGUAACGGCUUACCAAGGCGACGAUCAGUAGCCGACCUGAGAGGGUGAUCGGCCACAUUGGAACUGAGACACGGUCCAA